AUUGAACGCUGGCGGCAGGCCUAACACAUGCAAGUCGAGCGGCAGCGGAAAGUAGCUUGCUACUUUGCCGGCGAGCGGCGGACGGGUGAGUAAUGUCUGGGAAACUGCCCGAUGGAGGGGGAUAACUACUGGAAACGGUGGCUAAUACCGCAUAACGUCUUCGGACCAAAGUGGGGGACCUUCGGGCCUCACACCAUCGGAUGUGCCCAGAUGGGAUUAGCUAGUAGGUGGGGUAAUGGCUCACCUAGGCGACGAUCCCUAGCUGGUCUGAGGGGAUGACCAGCCACACUGGAACUGAGACACGGUCCAGACUCCUACGGGAGGCAGCAGUGGGGAAUAUUGCACAAUGGGCGCAAGCCUGAUGCAGCCAUGCCGCGUGUGUGAAGAAGGCCUUCGGGUUGUAAAGCACUUUCAGCGAGGAGGAAGGCAGUCGUGUUAAUAGCGCGACUGAUUGACGUUACUCGCAGAAGAAGCACCGGCUAACUGCGUGCCAGCAGCCGCGGUAA
rnacentral:rRNA from 1 species